CUGCCGGGCGGGGACGCUCGGUUUUCCGCGCCCCCACUUUCCUUUCACGGCCCAGUGGGAUGUGUAGUUCUUCCUCUCGCGCCGCUGCUCCAAGGGGAACCGCAACUAGGGGACCAAAAAACUACAAAUCCCUGCAUGCUCCGCGACGAGGGCGGGAGAGGCGCGGUAUUGAGUGUGCUGGUGCUCUGGGUUGGAGAUGGUAACCAACAAAGGGAACGGUGUGGACGGCUGCGCCUUUCCUGUGCUGGGGCACUUCCCGCGUGACACGCUUUCUUUAUCUAAUCUUCACGACAACCCUGCGAGGCACUGUUGUAUCCGGCCUGAGAGAACGCACAGCUACUUGCCAGAAGUCACGAAGCGCCGGGUGGUAGAGACGGGAUCGAACCCAGAGCCCUGAGAAUUUCCCUUCCUAAACACUGCCUAGGAUCUUAGUUCCCUGACCGAAGAUUGAACCAAGGAUUGAACCUGUUCUAUAGCAGUGAAAGCUCCAAGCUCCAGUGAAAGCUCCCACUGGACCACCAGGGGAUGCCCUAUUUUAAAGGGCCUGUCACUCUCCAGUCCUUCCUGAUCCAUCAACAUGAAAAAUGCAGAGUCUAAGACUGAACGAACUUCUCCUCCCCCUGUAUGUGGGUUGCUCCUCAUUUACAAGUACCUUCUCGGACGCCUCUCUUUGCCUUGUCUCCACUUCGUGUCAAGUCCUAUCAAUAAUUCCUUUGGAUUUUCCUUCAGUUGUCUCCUUUCUCCUUUCCACUGUGUCAGAGUUCAGAGCCAGGAGACAGAAACCACUCCAGUUAUCUUCGGCAGUCCAGGGGAUUCAAGGAGAUCCAACCAGUUCAUCCUAAAGGAGAUCAGUCCUGGGUGUUCAUUGGAAGGACUGAUGCUGAAGCUGAAACUCCAAUACUUUGGCCACCUCAUGCGAAGA